GCAGGGAGGGGGUGGGUGUCAACACAGCUUCAGACACGGUCCAUCUGCAGGUGAGAGAGAUGGGAGGGCCGCCCAAACUAAGGAUAAACAGGCGGGACCGGGUGAAAACAAGCCCCCAGGGUGAAGGCAGAAGGAAAGGGGCAGAGCUGGCUUCGAAGGGAUCCUCAUGUACCUCCCCCCACCCCCCGCACCUUCCCCCCGCCCCAGCCAGCCGGGGUGCCAGCUGCCUCGCCAAGGCCUAGCAGCUGGUUGAAAGGUGAGAACUAGUCACCAUCCCCAAUGGUUGGACUUCUUCUUUGAGUUAACUGAACACUUAUCCGUGGCCUCAAAAAUAACAGCCCUAGGUUUUAUGGCUUAAAAGUUAAGACAGACACCGUCUUCUCUUUCUCCUUCAAUGGUGUGGCCCUAUGGGACAGAAACCCCCCGAGAGGGAGGUGUGAGUGGGCUGCGGCCUGUGGUGCCAAGUGCCUGGUCACCUGGGGUCGGCCUGGUGGUGGCGUGUGUGGCGUCCCUUAUACCCCAGCUGCGCUCAAAUGGAACCCAACAUCUCCUUUAAGGAGAGGCAACAAGCAUCCCGUUAGUUACACAGUGGCUUACCCCCACCCAUUGCAAACCUCUUUUCCGUAGCAGUCUCCACUCUAGAGACUGGAAAAACUAAACCACUCUUUGUCUUCUCUAGCCCUAGGUGAUUCUUGACAAUGUCCUGGCCGGUUAGACAUAAGCAAAACCCUGCUUGGCUUUUAGGAAACCCUUGAUUUUUUUUUGUUUUUGUUUUUGUUUUUUAAUAAAUGGAACAGAUGCAUCUGGCACCAUCCCUUCCCCCUGUUGUCUACCUGGAAUGAGGAUGAGAUGCCUGGAGUUAUGGCAUCCACAGUGUGACUAUGAGUGAAAUGUGAAGAAAAACGUAAGAUGUUACCCCCAAUAUUAUGUUGCCCUAAACCAACGCCAGCUACUGACAACCUCCAGACUUCCUGUUAUGGAAGGAAAAUAAAUCCCAAUUCAUGUAAGCCCUUGUCAGUUGGCUUUUCUGUUUCUUGUCAUUGAAAAGCCUUCCUAAGUGAUAAACAUGCUUAUGGGUGUUUUCAAAGCAAGGAGGCUUCAAGGAGCCCUUUAGCCUUUCCAGUCAAACGGGAGAUACGUCGUCAGGGCCCUCCACUUAGGAAAGGAAAUAUCCAGAAGGACGUCUCUCCUUCCCCAGCACGACCUAGACCUAGUUCUGCGCACGUGGCCCCAUGUGGGCCUCAUCUGGCCUCCAAAGGAAGCGCCCUGGAUUGUUCGCUCCAUUCAGGAAAAACUAGGCCCCUGGGUGGAGUAGCAAAAAAGUAAAAAAGACAGCAUUGCUCUGAUGGUCCCUCUGCCGCUCUGUUCCCUGAAGAUCUUGAAGCGUUCUCCUGAGACACGGGCCAGGUCUUGGGCCUCACUCCCAGGAUGAUGGUAGGGCCACCGCAGAGGCAUGCUUUUUCUGCUGCUCCCCCAUCCUUCUUCCCUGGGAUCCUGGGAGCUACAAGACCCCGUCCCAUGAGGUUUUCCAGACCAACUCUCCUGAUUCAGACACGCGGAAAAUAAAGAGCAGACCCCAGGGAAUAAGCAAAAGGAAACUGGAGUCUUUGCUGCGUUGUUAUCUCUUUACCACCUUGGAAGGGGAUGCUAAUCUCCUAGUUAAUCCUUGCUAAGUGCUCCUUCUCUCCCUCCUUCAAGGGCUCCCCUGCUAUUCCUCCUUGGCCUGCCCUCCAGACAUCCUCCAUUCUUCACCUCUUCUCGCUCACAUCCUUCAUUCAUUUCUGUGGCUUCCAUAUCUCCUGAAACCCUGGUCUCUUUGCUCAGCCCACACCUGCUCCUGGGCCCCAGCCUCAAAUAUGCAGCUAGUCCUUACACAUCUGCACCCGGGCUCUAUAAACUUAACAUGUCCCUAACAUAAAUCUUUUCCCCCAGUCUGUUCCUACCCCUUCCUAUCUUCCAUGGCACCACUGCCCCCUCUGUUACCUUCCCAUUGCUGCUAUAACAAAUUACCACAAACCAAGUGGCUUAUAACAUCACACGUGUAUUAUCUUAUACUUCUGGAGACCAGAAAUCCAAAAUGGUUCUUGCUAGGCUACAACCAAGGUGUUGGCAGGGCUGCAUGCCUUCUAGAAGCUCUAGGGAAAAGUCCAUGCCCUUGUCUUUUCCAGCCUCCCAAGGCCACCUGCAUUCCUUGGCUUAUGGCCUCUUGUGGCCAACAAUUAUGUCCCUCCAAGCUCUGCAGUGUCCUUCCAUUUUCUUCUGGAAAGGUCGUGCCUCCUUCUUUCUUUACCUUUUUAAAAUUUGUAUUUAUGUAUUAUGUAUGUAUGUAUGCAUUUAUGUAAUCUCUACAUCCAACGUGGGGCUCAAACCCUCAACCCUAAGAUCAAGAGUCACACAUUCUACCAACUGAGCCACCCUGGUGACCCCUCCUUCUUUCACUUCUAAGAAUCAUUAUGAUUAUAUUAUCCGCCUGGAUAAUCCAAGAUUAUCUCCCCACCUCAAGGUCCUUACUUUAGUCACAUCUGCAAAGUCCCUUUUGUCACAUAGGUAACUUAGUCAUAGUUUCCAGGGAUUAGGACUCGAACAUCCUUAGGGGCCAUUGUUCUACCUUUCACACCUCCUUUUAAUAAGAAUUGCCACCAUGGGGCACCUGGACAGUGCAGUCAGUUGGGCAGUUGGGCGUCUGGCUCUUGAUUUCGACUCAGGUCGUAAUCUCACCGUGAGAUUGAGCCCCUUGGUGAGAUCGAGCCCCAUGUCAGGCUCUGCACUGAUGCUUGGAAGUCUGUCUUUCUCUUUCUGCCCCUCCACUCCUUGUGCUCUGUGUCUCUCAAAAUAAAUAAAUGAACUGUAAAAAUAAUAAUAAUAAUGCUACUGUUACUAGCAAUUUUGUAGUUUGGGCUGAUUUUUUUUUUUCCUAAGUAUUUUCAUGCACAAUCGAGACGAUACAAAACAAAAAGAGGCCUUUAGUACUCCCGAAAAUCUACUGGCAAGAGAAAACCACUCAUCUGCAGACACAGGCUAACUUUCAUGAAAAGGGAGGGAUGACACAGAGGUCAGAACAAGAGUUCAGAGGGGAGAGCCAGAAGCCGUGAAGGAUUAGUCCAUAUGGAUUUAGCCCAUAUGAAAUCCAACCAAAGCCUGGUUGGAUUUCAGAAUUGGUAUGGACCACUUUUUCCCUUUUGAACAGGAAUGUACAUAGCAGCUAUCUUACGCCCCUCCUACCUUGUAUACAGGGUAUGGUGGGAGCAGAUAACUCAUCUCUUUGUUUAACUGGUCAACAGGAAACUUUCAUGGGAACCUGUUUACGAAACUACACCUGAGGAGUCUUACCUGCACCUGGACUUGAUGUAGAUGAUGAGAUAGAUACGGCUCGUGCUGGAAUUACUCACUGUGGGGACAAGCUGUUGUGUUGUGAGUAACCCCAUAGGGAAGCCCACCUGGUGAGGAAGAGAGACCCUGAGACAGAAACACCCAACCAAGCUGCCUCCAGAAUCCUGAGCCUCAGAAACCUCGAGCUGUGAUGCCGAAGGGGCUGGUCAAGAAUCCAGGGGCCAACACGGUGGAAGAGAGAUGCAGAGCCCAUCGGUGAUGUGUAUCAUGCGGCCUGUGGAGCUGGGCACGUUGUGUCAGCUGGGACCAAGCAGGGUACAGCCGUAAUGCCAGCUGAAGAUUAUUUAUCCUGUUGUCGAGGAGUCUUGUCACUGCUGCCCCACCCCAGGCUGGCCGGAGCCGAAGCUGACCCGCCCCAGAGCCCCGGAGCCCUGCCUUCAGCCUCAGCCAGGUGGACCUGGGGACAGUGGCUGGGCUGUUUACUCCCCGUCUCUCUGUGGGGGCCCCCAACCCCACCCCACCACUGACCUUACUGCAUUUCUCACCCUCCUUGUCACUGCCACACCUUUUGUCUCUCUGGGCCAUCUCAGCCCCUGGGCCUCCGGACUGUGAUCAGCCCUCCUGGGGACCAAAGCCCAGGGUCAGAGAGGAGAAGUGCUCAGGCACGUCCCUACAGCAGCCUUUACUCCCAAGUUCUGAGCGCUUUCCCAGGCAUGCCCUGGAAAGGAAACCAGGGCGGGAGGAAUGAGGUUCCCUAGAAAUAUAUUUAGAUUUCCCAGUGGAGGGACGAGUGGGAGGGUGGAAGGCAGGACUGUGAACUACACUGGACAUUCCGCUCCACUCUGUCCCCAAGGCACGGAGGCUCCUGCUGGAAAACAAAAAACCCUCCCUGGAAAAGAAUGGGAAAAAGAAAAUUCUUUUACCCACCAGUAAAUCUCCCAGGGCUGUCCUGGGCCAUGGAGAUUAAUUAUAUUACUAUUUGUGAUAAUAAUACAUCUUAUAGCAUA